UGCCCAGCAACUCCUAUCCCUACCUCCUCGUGGUACCGGCCGGAAACUAUGAGCAACCUUAGGGAA
rnacentral:ribozyme from 1 species